rnacentral:tRNA from 1 species
GGGGUUGUGGCUCAGUGGUGGAGCAUUUUCCUCACACAAGAAAGGCCCUGGGUUCAAUCCUCAACACCACA